GGUCCAGAAGCUCCGUUGGUAGAGCAGCCGCCUGUCGAGCGGAAGGGUGCGGGUUCGACUCCCGUGUGGACCG
rnacentral:tRNA from 3 species